rnacentral:rRNA from 1 species
AAAGUCGUAACAAGGUUUCCGUAGGUGAACCUGCGGAAGGAUCAUUAUUGAAAUAAACCUGAUGGGUUGUUGCUGGUUCUCUAGGGAGCAUGUGCACGCUUGUCAUCUUUAUAUCUCCACCUGUGCACUUUUUGUAGACCUGGAUAAUCUUUCUGAAUGCACUUGCAUUUCAGGUUUGAGGAAUUGACUUCAUGUCUCUCCUUACAUUUCCAGGCCUAUGUUUCUUCAUAUACCCCUAUGUAUGUUUCAGAAUGUAACAGGAUGGGCCUUUUGUGCCUAUAAAUAUAUACAACUUUCAGCAACGGAUCUCUUGGCUCUCGCAUCGAUGAAGAACGCAGCGAAAUGCGAUAAGUAAUGUGAAUUGCAGAAUUCAGUGAAUCAUCGAAUCUUUGAACGCACCUUGCGCUCCUUGGUAUUCCGAGGAGCAUGCCUGUUUGAGUGUCAUUAAUAUAUCAACCUCUUCGGCUUAUGCUUGUUGAGUGUUGGAUGGUGGGGGUUUUGCUGGUGUCUUAUGAAGUCAGCUCCCCUGAAAUGCAUUAGCGGAACAAUUUGUUGACCGUUCAUUGGUGUGAUAAAAUAUCUACGCUAUUGACGUCAGUCAGUUCAGCUUCUAACAGUCCAUUGACUUGGACAAAUUUUCAUUAAUGUGACCUCAAAUCAGGUAGGACUACCCGCUGAACUUAAGCAUAUCAAUAAGCGGAGGAAAAGAAACUAACAAGGAUUCCCCUAGUAACUGCGAGUGAAGCGGGAAAAGCUCAAAUUUAAAAUCUGGCAGUCUUUGGCUGUCCGAGUUGUAAACUAGAGAAGUGUUAUCCGCGCU